ensembl:lncRNA
GAGAAGUGCGCCGGGGUCCACGGGAACACCCACAAAUGGUGACGCCAUUGUCAGAGGAGGGGCUAGGAAGCUGCGCACGCCGAUUUAAGUAGCCGAUCUCCGGCUAGACUAAGCCGAAAAACUGCUCCCGACCAGGUUUGGUUGCAAGCAUAAGUCACCAUGGUGAUACAGCGACGCUAAAAGAGAUCGACUUCCGUGGUACAACUAACCCAGGCUUGGAGCUCAACAUACCUCGCUAACCCUCUAAGCGAGCUUCAUGGUACAGGCCCCUGGGCUAUACCGCCCCCCCCCCCCUACCGGACUGAGGCGAACCGAACCGUACCACACCCUGCAGUGGAAACGCGGCAUUAUUGUUAAUCCUGUCCCCACUGGGCCCGUUUUUACUCCCAGAAUGCAUGAGUGACAACUUCCUGGGACAGUGUGUUGGGUGAGGCACCUUAGCAGCAGUGGUCAUGGUGGUAGGGGAGUCUGGCUUUGAGGGGGUCCGCAGCCUCCCACUGCCCCAGGGAGAAGACUGGUUGGUGGGCAUGAUGCGUCUAGGGGCUGUUCUUAAAGACCUGGGGAUCUGAAGAGGGACAAGUGAGAGGGCAGGCCAAUGUCUUUGCAGUAGGAUAUACAAAGGGCUUCUCCCAGAAAACAAUCCAUCUCACCUGCGCACUCCACCGUCAAGAGAUUGGUUGUCAGCGAUCCGAUGGUCAGCGAUUGCAAGGUCAGUGAGGGGGUCCCCGGUGUGGUCAGCUCCGGAUAUCUAGCGCUAAACAUACGCUGUAGCUUCUUCCUGCAACUCCGGAAGUAUCCCACAGCAUGCUGCUAGCAGUAGUUAGCUACUAGCAGCAGCUAGGAGGCGACGGCUCGCAGGACUGCUAGUUUCAGUGGCUAAACUAUGGUCUGUAGAUAGAGAUUGCAGAUGGGCUGGCUUGGGUAGGGGCUCUCGUCAUUGGAUGCGCCGGGGGCCUGGGUUCUGGAGUCUAGGGGGGUUGAACACAGGACCACCCGUGGAGGAGACCCAGUGAUGUGCAGUGGCUCAGAAGCUCCACAGUACGCAACCGGAGAGCCGACCGGAAUCUUCUGAGCUGCCAGCCUCAUCAGAUACCCACCAAUGGGCUGUCAGAUAUUGUUCGCUGGCCUGUCAGGACGAGGCUUCCCGUUGAAUUAAGAGGAGGACCGCAGCACCACGAGCUCACCGACGGAACUGACACACGCUGCACGAGCUGCAGAGAGCUCCGGCCCCCUAGCAACCAACAGCCUGGUAACGGCGGGUACAAGCUUUGUAUCCUAGCAACUACCGACCCCCACCACCAGCGGUACACACGAGCGUCGAUGCACUAACGACCACUACAACAGCCUCCUGAAUAAAAACAGCCCCUAAAAUCUGUUGACCGACAAAACACAAGGCCAGUGGCGGUUCUAGACACAUUUUAAUAGGGGGGCCAAGGAGGGACCAGUGUUCAACCAGAGGGGCUCAAAAAAGCCAAAAUAUAUUUA